rnacentral:rRNA from 1 species
GGAUGAACGCUAGCGGCAGGCUUAAUACAUGCAAGUCGAGGGGCAACAGGGGUAGCAAUACCUGCUGGCGACCGGCAAACGGGUGCGGAACACGUACAGAACCUUCCUUUAAGUUGGAGAUAGCCCGGAGAAAUCCGGAUUAAUACCUAAUAGUAUUAUGGUGGUGGCAUCACAUUAUAAUUAAAGCCUUGGCGCUUAGAGAUGGCUGUGCGUAUGAUUAGGUAGUUGGNGCGGGUAACGGCCCACCAAGCCUUCGAUCAUUAACUGGUGUGAGAGCACGACCAGUCACACGGGCACUGA